CACCGCGGUUAUACGAGAGACCCAAGUUGAUAGCCCUCGGCGUAAAGAGUGGUUAAGAGACAUCCCCAAACUAAAGAUAAACGACUUCAAAGCUGUUAUACGCACAUGAAUAUAUGAAAAUCAACUACGAAAGUGACUUUAAACCCCUGACCCCACGAAAGCUAUGACA
rnacentral:rRNA from 1 species